rnacentral:rRNA from 1 species
AUUGAACGCUGGCGGAAUGCUUUACACAUGCAAGUCGAACGGUAGAGGGGGCAACCCCUCGAGAGUGGCGAACGGGUGAGUAAUAUAUCGGAACGUGCCCAGUCGUGGGGGAUAACGUAGCGAAAGUUACGCUAAUACCGCAUACGAUCUACGGAUGAAAGCGGGGGAUCGCAAGACCUCGCGCGAUUGGAGCGGCCGAUAUCAGAUUAGGUAGUUGGUGGGGUAAAGGCUCACCAAGCCAACGAUCUGUAGCUGGUCUGAGAGGACGACCAGCCACACUGGAACUGAGACACGGUCCAGACUCCUACGGGGGGCAGCAGUGGGGAAUUUUGGACAAUGGACGCAAGUCUGAUCCAGCCAUUCCGCGUGCAGGAUGAAGGCCCUCGGGUUGUAAACUGCUUUUGUACGGAACGAAAAGGUCUCUCUUAAUACGGGGGGCUCAUGACGGUACCGUAAGAAUAAGCACCGGCUAACUACGUG